AACCGACCCCUGGGCAGGGGUGGCCUGUCGCCCGGAUGCGACGGCCGACGUUGGGGAAGCCGGUGACCGCCCGUUGGUGGAAGUCCGGCACUGUCCCGCAACUGUAAGGGCAGCUAUCAGCCGUCAGCCAUCAGCCGUCAGCUAGCGCUUUAGCUGACCGCUGAGAGCUGACACUUGCACCCCGUUCGGGCCGGGAGACCCGGUCCGCCGGGGCGAGACGGCCUGCGCUGCACUCCGGCGCAAGUGCAGGUGAAGCUGAAGGCUGUUCAAGUCAGGAUACCCGCCUCUGCCCCGGCGCUUGA
rnacentral:ncRNA from 1 species